UGGCACACCUGAUGGUUAUCUUUGAGC
rnacentral:piRNA from 1 species